AGUAUUCCUAGAAUGUUUGAUUUCAUUUGUUCUUUCUUCGCGGGCAUUCCUAUUAGAACGAAUUUCAUUUGAUACUCUUUCUUCGCGAGUAUUUCUAGAGUGUCGAAUUUCAUUUGAUGCUCGUUCUUCGCGAGUAUCCCUAGAGUGUCG